rnacentral:rRNA from 1 species
AAUCUUGGACAAUGGGCGCAAGCCUGAUCCAGCCAUGCCGCGUGUGUGAUGAAGGCCUUAGGGUCGUGAAGCACUUUCGCCAGAGAUGAUAAUGACAGUAUCUGGUAAAGAAACCCCGGCUAACUCCGUGCCAGCAGCCGCGGUAAUACGGAGGGGGUUAGCGUUGUUCGGAAUUACUGGGCGUAAAGCGCACGUAGGCGGAUUAGUCAGUCAGAGGUGAAAUCCCAGGGCUCAACCCUGGAACUGCCUUUGAUACUGCUAGUCUUGAGUUCGAGAGAGGUGAGUGGAAUUCCGAGUGUAGAGGUGAAAUUCGUAGAUAUUCGGAGGAACACCAGUGGCGAAGGCGGCUCACUGGCUCGAUACUGACGCUGAGUGCGAAAGUGUGGGGACAAACAGGAUUAGAUACCCUGGUAGUCCACACCGUAAACGAUGAAUGCCAGUCGUCGGGCAGUAUACUGUUCGGUGACACACCUAACGGAUUAAGCAUUCCGCCUGGGGAGUACGGUCGCAAGAUUAAAACUCAAAUGAAUUGAC